rnacentral:tRNA from 1 species
CAAAAAAUAAUUUAACUAAAAUCUUAGUUUUGGAGACUAAAAAUAUAAUAUUAUAUUAUUUUUUUGA